GGCUUUGAAACCAGGACGCCAGUUUUGGCGGAGCCAUCCUAGGGAUAGCACCCUUGUAGUACUGGGACUCUAACCAUAGGCCAUGAAUCUGGUCUUGGGACACUGUCAGGUGGGCAGUUUGACUGGGGCGGUCGCCUCCCAAAAGGUAACGGAGGCGCUCAAAGGUUCUCUCAGUACGGUCGGAAAUCGUACGUAGAGCGUAAAGGCAAAAGAGAGCUUGAUUGCAAGACAUACAGGUCGAGCAAGGAUGAAAAUCGGACUUAGUGAUCCGGUGGUUCUGCGUGGAAGGGCCAUCGCUCAACGGAUAAAAGCUACCCUGGGGAUAACAGGCUUAUCUCCCCCAAGAGUCCACAUCGACGGGGAGGUUUGGCACCUCGAUGUCGGCUCAUCACAUCCUGGGGCUGUAGUAGGUCCCAAGGGUUGGGCUGUUCGCCCAUUAAAGUGGUACGCGAGCUGGGUUCAGAACGUCGUGAGACAGUUCGGUCCCUAUCCGUCGCAGGCGUAGGAAAUUUGAGAAGACCUGUCCUUAGUACGAGAGGACCGGGAUGGACGUACCUCUGGUGUACCAGUUGUUCUGCCAAGGGCAUGGCUGGGUAGCUAUGUACGGAAUGGAUAAGCGCUGAAAGCAUCUAAGCGCGAAGCCAACUUCAAGAUAAGAUUUCCCACCGCAAGGGUAAGACCCCAGAAAGACUAUCUGGUUGAUAGGUCGAAGGUGUAAGUGCAGCAAUGUAUUUAGCUUAUCGAUACUAAUAGGUCGAGGACUUGACCAAAUU
rnacentral:rRNA from 1 species